GUAAUGAUAUAAAUGACGAUGUCACUGGCUUAUGUAUUUACUAUGUUAUCCUUUUUAUCAUUAUUUUGGAGUGUGUUCCUUCUACUUAUUAAAAAAAAUUAACUGUAAAACAGCCUGAGGCAAGUCCUGUAAGAGGUAUUCCAGAAGAAGGCAUUGUCGUAGGAGAUGACAGCUCCAGCUGUGUUAUUGACCCCGAAGACCUUCCAGUGGGACAAGAUGUGGAGAGCAACUUCCAGUCCUGCAAGCUCCAUUCAUGCAAUCACAGGAAUAUAUAAAACAUGAGCAGAAAGAGGCCUUUGGAGAAAUCUGGACCAGCAUUCUCAUUUUACGGAUGAGGGACCACGGCCCAUGGAGGUUUCCAUAGAUGAUUGGAAAAACCCAAGAGUUGGUCCUCUGUUCCAGACCCCACACAGACACAAACCUACAAGCCAAGGGAGCCAGUAUUUGGCCAUUCGUCCAUCCAUCUGCAUGUCCCAGGGAUGCACGAACAGGGAACACUUCAGCCUUUCGGCUGCCUUCAAAGAAGCAAUGAGAGAGAGAGAGAGGGUUACUUUGAUGAGUGAGCAGAUACCAGAAACACCAAGGAAGGCUCUGGUCUAAACCUUGCCCUCACUCCUGUCUUCUGGCUCCUGACCACCCUGGUGUCUUCCCCUGUGGCCCUGCAAGGCAUAUCAUGCUUCCUGUCUCUAGGA
rnacentral:lncRNA from 1 species